rnacentral:sRNA from 1 species
GCCGGGUGCAGUGAUGCACACCUGUAAUCCCAGCAGCUCGGGAGGCUGAGAUUGGAGGAUCAUGGGUUCAAAACCAGCCUCAGCAACAGUGAGGCACUAUACAGCUCAGUGAGACCCUGUCUCUA